rnacentral:lncRNA from 1 species
UUGCAAGUCGCCCAGAAUCUGAGCGAAUGGAGUGUCAUACAGUCGCCCAGAACUGUUACUCUAUUCUCGCCCAAACCUUCAAGUCGCCCAAGGUCUUAACAACAUAAAGCGUCGUGGUUAUCAAGAAGUGCAGUUAUCAAGGCAGUUAUUGAAGCAGCCCUAUCACGUUCCACGAUUCAAGGAACUCAAUCGAAAGCGGUUGAACGAUGAAGAGUAAUGGCAGUAGUUAAAAAAGGCAGUUUUCAUGACAAGUUGGCCAUUACGAAGAAAGUGGGCAGUUAUAGGACGAUCAAGCAGUUUUUAGAGCGGUUGAUCACAAAGAGAUCGUCCAUGAAGUAUAAAAGGGAGAAAGGACAUAGAAGCAAAAGACCGAAUCCAAAA